rnacentral:rRNA from 1 species
UACGAAGGGGGCUAGCGUUGCUCGGAAUCACUGGGCGUAAAGCGCACGUAGGCGGAUUGCUAAGUCAGGGGUGAAAUCCUGGAGCUCAACUCCAGAACUGCCUUUGAUACUGAAGAUCUUGAGUUCGGGAGAGGUGAGUGGAACUGCGAGUGUAGAGGUGAAAUUCGUAGAUAUUCGCAAGAACACCAGUGGCGAAGGCGCUCACUGGCCCGAUACUGACGCUGAGGCACGAAAGCGUGGGGAGCAAACAGG